rnacentral:lncRNA from 1 species
GUCUGGGGGGCCGCGUCCCGCUGGCCGGCUCCGAGAGCACCGAGGUGUCGCGAGGUGCGCUCGCCCGCAGCCCUCUGUCAGUUAUUUUGGUCAGGAUGGCACGUGGAUCCCGGGACAGGGGCACAGAGAGAUUAGGUGGUUUAAAUCUUAUGCCUUGGGCCCCUCUCCAAGGAAAAGCUGCUGCUGACUUACAGCUGUCUCGUGCUCUCUGUGGAAUGAGAGGGAAGUCCAUUCAGUCUGGUGAAAAUAAACCCACCGUCAUAGCUGGCAUUCUCGUUGGUAGUCUCAGUGCGGAGGCCAAGGAUUUGAGGGCAGUGACACAUGAGGCAUCUCACUCCUAAAGAGCUCGAUCUGGGUUGAAACGUGUCAUCAGAAAAGCAUGAGGAGCCUUGCGCUCCCGCUGUCAGUACAGUGCUUGCCCUCUGCACACAGACCGGCUUUCCUUUUCUGUCCCAUCCGUCUGGCACACAGCACGGGGACCAUUUACUGUACAUUCACGUUAAAGGAGAAGCACACCCGCUGUUCUCCCGCGGGACCCAUCAGCCCCACACCUAAUGCCUUUCCAUCGCUAUCUGCCCUUCUCUCCUGCGGGAUAAAAGACUGUGCCCAGCCUCAUCAUCUCCCCUCUAUCUGUGCUCCUCUCUGUUCCUCUCCUCCUUGGUGCUGGGUACCUGCAGUGCCUGGAUGCAGUGAGGGAUGGGCAGGCCCUGUGCCGUGGCAUCGCAUGUGUGCCACUCCCCAGUAGCAGCCAUUGUGUUGGCUCUCCUAACGAUGACUGUGCAGGGGUACGAGGGACACUUCCAGAGCACACUGGCCCCACAGCAUCAUCCCAGUGAGCACCUGUGAGUUGGAUUUCUGUGAAGAAAAGCACUUCUGUUUUCUGGAGCACUGCUGGCCGGAGAGCUGCAAAAAUGAAGCAGAUGUUUUAUUUGUUGCUCUUCACGUCACUUACAAUGAAGAUCCUAUGAGACGUUAUGAGAUGAAUUAAGCCUCACUGAGGAAUUGCUCAGCCCACCGGCCCACCCCAGGCACAGAGUAGUGCGGUGCCACAGCUCACAGGAGUACAGCAGCCACGUGGCAUGUAUGUGCUCUGACUUCCCACUCAGCCCAGGAUCAGGAGUGAGUCCAAAGGCCAUCCCAGGCAAGAAGUGCUGACUAUAAUAAGGAUGAUGUGAGAAAGCAGAAGCUUUCAUCAUAGAUGCCUGGAGUUCUUUCUUUGCUGUGUUAUCAACAGGUCUGAGAGGCUAUACAGACUCCUUAUAAAGAGUGAAGUCUGCUUUGGAUGGUUUCAUACCAUUUCCUCCCAAAUUCAUGUGAUGCAAUAGACGUGGUGCCCGGUACACAGGCUGCAUCCCACACCCUGAGACCAGGAGGAACAUGGAGCGGGCACGGCAGCGGCCGUUCCACCUGAGGGUCUGGAGGGUCUGGAGCCCUCCAGAAGAGUUGUUGUCCCUCAAAAUUGACUCGCUGCCCCACAUCGCUGCUGCAGAGAUGUCACGUUUCACAAGCGUUUCCCGGUGGAGCCCCAAUCCAGCUGCCAGUGCCUCUAUGGGUGAAAUUAAAGAGCUGCAUCACCCUGGAGAUGACCUGUGAUCUUUUUAAGUUAGAGUGCACUCUGAGAAAAAAAAAAAAAGGAGGGAAAAAAAAAAAAAAAAGGAAAGUAAAAGAAAAACACUAAAAUAAAAUCUGUUGAGUCUCCAAGCUUUCCCAGGCAACUCUGGGUGGCCCAGUUUGAACUCUUUCCCCCUGCAGCCACUGACAUAGGUGUUCUCUCGAUACGGCUUCCACCCACUCACUGUGAGCCCUCCUCGGAGCUGAAUGUGCCGUCUUCUCACUCUUCAAUGAAAAAAAAAACCUGAGGUUGGAAAACACAGAACGCAGCGAGGCCGUGCAGACAGCUCGUCAGGGUCUGCAGCGCCCGGCUCCUGCACACCUUCCGCUGAAGGAUGUGGAAACGAUUUUAAACUCAAUGGUGCCAAGAGAAGGGGGGGGGGGGGGGGGGGGGCAGGCACAGCUGCUUGGAGUCCUUGGGUGAGGAAGUUAAAGAUACCAAAAUUAGAGGCAGGUCUUUCAUGCAGCUGAUUAGUGCAAUGGAAUGUCACAUUUUGCAAAGAAAGUUUGCCUAUCAAGCUGCAGAUUUAUUAAAUGCGUUCCAGACUUGCAUUGCUUCAUUCAAGUUUAACGGAGCUGUAAUACUUAAGAUGCCCUUUAGCAAUUUAAUACUCUCUUGUACAAAUCAUUGGAAAAUUUAAAAUAGAAAAAUAUGUCCGGGCUUAACUGUAAGAAGAAGGGGAACUCUGUACAAAAACAGAGCAGAAAGAAUGCAUGGGUAAAGCUGAGUAUUACUGAAUAUCUUACCACAUGUACUAUUCUGCUGAGUUAUUAGUACACGCGCUCUGAUCCGCGGGCCAGAGGAGGAACUAGCAGUAAUAAGUUGCAGAACAACAGCUUUUGGCAUCAGGGCUGGAGACUGGCAUCACACCAUGCCCAGAAAUUACUCCUCGGAAAACACGUUUUAUAGACUCUUCUCCUUCACUUUCUCGGCAGUGCAAAGUGAAAUGGGAUCUGAAUGGAGCAGCCACUCAUCUCUCCCACCAUGCAUGAAACAACUGCAUGAUGCAGUAAGAAGCAGCUUGCCAGGAGGCACCAGGAGAGCCUGCUAGGCCUCAGAGAGCGCUAUUGAAACAGAAGCUGGUGCAGUGUAAUGAUGAUUGGCAAGGUCCGGUGUAUGGUAACAGGGCCUAAUUUAAGCAUGAAUGUGCUAGCACCUCUGCUUUUGAAAGGCAAAUGGAUAUACAUAAUCUAUUUCCCUGAGCCAGGGUGGGGGGUUUACUCCUCAUUCUCCAUUAUCUUCCUUCUCUUGCUUCACUGUAGCUCUAGCAUGUGGCAACCUGCCCCUGAGUCUGCAGCAAUGCCAGGAGAGAGGACCUGGGCAGCCAGAUGUUCUGUCUCUGCAGGGUGCUGGUCUCUGAAUGUUUGUUUUUCUUUCUUUCUUGUCAUCUGAUCCUCCUGGCGGAAGAGUCGCACUGUGGGAUCAACCUCCUUAUUCACAGGGCAGCACAUCCUGCAAAGCACAUUUCCUACCAAAACAGGGAGUGGGGUAGAAGAAGCAAAAUGUGCCUAGGAUGGGAAUAAUUGGCAGUGGGAGAGAGACAGGUGAGUAGGUUUGCUUUGAUUUUGAGGGUUGGAUAGAGAAGCAGCCAAAACGAGAGGCAUAGGGCUGUUACACCAGCCUCUCUACAAAGCUUUGCAGCUGCUGGAGGCCUGGGUCACCUGGAUGCUGCUUAAAAAGUGCUCUUGGACACAGAUGAUAUAUGAGGGAGUCUGAAUACCGGCUAGAAGCAUGGAGGAAAAGGCAUGGAAAGUAGUCUGGAAAGAAGAGAAUGGAUACUUUCAAUAGCUCCUGACUAUAGAGUGUGGGCUCUUGCAAGAGUUGGACUCACCCAGGCAUAAUGCGGACCAGCAGCAUCUUCCACCGUGGUGUGGCAGAAACAAGCAAGAGGAGCCCUGGAUUUCUGGCCUUCCACAGAAACAACCCCCUUGUGUUGCUGCCUCCAAAGAAGCUGCCAAAAUACAAUGGUAAACAGCUACACAUUAAAGAACAAAGGUCCAUUAACUAUCAAAUAGUGUUUUAACUUGCUCCAGAAUGCAGGGAUGAAAUUCAGUUUCCUGUCACCACUGAAUUGUGACAAGCUACUCGCAAAAGCGACUUCAGAGAAGCUGGCGUGGUUUCCGUAGCUGAUAUCUGGAAGCUAUGUAGAAUUAUCUGCAGCAGCAAAGUGAGGAUAGCAAGCAAGAGAGACUCAGUUGCCAGGAGUAGGCAAGAGAAAUCACAUAGCUGAGAUGUACUGAGGCAGAUGAUCCAAAUAGCUCAGGGGGGUUCAGUCUCAUCUUCACCAGAUGCAGAAUAUGAACUCAGUAAUGCUGCUUUGUCAGGAAGAAGGAGACAGAUUACUUGUAUGCGUAGUGUGGAUCUCUUCCACGUAGCACUAAUGAGCUGCUACUAUCACUGUAGCUCAGGUACAGAUUAUUUCACUUGCAUCUAAAUUUUAAAAUAUAGAAGCAACACUCGUGUAAUUUCUGUUAUUUAGGGCAGUGUAGAUUAGUGUAGAAUAGGAGCCCAGAUUUUGGAAUUGGGUUGAGAAGAAGUAGUGUGGACCCUUUCUAAAUAACUGGGCAGUCCUACAGCUAAGAUCUCGAGAGGUCGGUCAUUCACAGCAAGGGGAAAAUGACUGAUUGGUGCAGAGAAGCUCUUCACAAUUGCAAGCAGUUAAAGUUGUCAUUCGUUGCAAGGAACUGCACUGCCAGGGGCUGGGGCACAUUUCAUACAUCAGAGCAUGCCCGCAGGCAGCCAACCUGCUCAGGGUUAUUACUCUCCUUUUAUAAAAACCUGGCAUACCUGUGGGAGAUGAAGUCAGAGAGGAUCUUUUGAAUCACACAGAAAUAAGCAGAAGGCUUCAUCCAUUUCUGCUGGAGAUAUAUCUGGUUGUUUCUCCAUGUGGUUGUGUGAAAUUUCUUGGCAAAGUUCAGCUCUUGGGAAGGAUAUUAUAGAACAGGUUCUGCUGUAUCAGCACUGUGUGAAGAGAUAUUAAAAAUAGACAUACAUAGGAAUGGCAGGUGUUGGUAGCAUCAGUCUGUAAGUCAAUUACAUGUGGUUUCCAUAAAGUUCAUUGUUUAAGAAAAUCAAUGCUAAGAAAAUACGAUGACUUCUGCACCUACUCUGGAUACAAAGAGAUCGCUGUGCAAGACCUGAGGAAGAGAUCUCCUCAGCUGAAAACGGAGUAGCUGCUGCAGCUCCCAUUGCCUGUCCUGUGUCCUCGGCCCACUGCUGUCCUUGGCUCAGAAGCAGUAGCAGAUAGCAAUCAAGGAGUCAGGAUUUCCGCUCCCACCGCUCUUUCUUACCCUUUCUGUGUCUGCAUUGUCUCCCAAAGCUGAUCACAAAAGAUGCGGUGUGGCCACAGGCUUAGAUGAGGGAUGAUAAGGAGGAGUUAAACAGAAGCAUUUUCACAUCAAAAAUGAUUUGAUGUGUGCCAAGAUGGUGUGGUAUACGCACAGCCUGUAAACAAGAGCCAAGAUGGCUAGCAGUGGAACAGCAAAACUGCUUAAUGCCUGUGGCAGGUCUGAGCUAAAAGCCCAAAAGCUUUCACCUAAAGCUGUGGUGAACAGCUAGUUUUUCCCAGUGCCUUAUGUUGCUAUGCAGACAAAUGGAGGCUACCUCUGCAAGUCCACAGGUGAGUGCUUGUUGCAGUCUGUCAGACCCGGAUGUCUCUCAGCUUUCAAGUUCACAAGCACAUCUCUCUAACAAGAGCAGUAGGUUUGGGACACUCCUUUUGUCCUACAGGCUCUCCUUCCUCCCCAUGUCUCCCCAGGUUAAGUGAUGCUAGCACUGGGGUGUGAUGAGCUAUCACCUGCCAGAAGUGCAUUCUGACGCUGCUCCUGAGCCAUUUCACCAUGCGCUUCCACCAGAGGUGACACAGCCUCACGUCAUCCCAUCCUGCAACAGACAGACAGACAGGGAGCAGCUCCCACCGAGUCCUACAGCAGACCUGCUUCUGUCGGCAAGAAAGGAUUUAGCCUGGGGGAUCUGAAGAUUUUAAUUUCCUUUCUUCUCUCUCUGACUUUGCCAGUUUCCUUCCUCUGAGAUCUUCUAUAUGCACAGCUUGUAAACAAGAGCAGAGGAGGGGAGGAGGGGGGGUCUCAAAGUAGCCUGACUGCCUGCUACACUCAGGUCGGUUGGUGGCACUUCCCAGGUCUGUAGUGAGGAAAGGUGACAGGCAAGGUAAAGGUGGAUUAUGGGAGUCCAGCCACCAGGAAAUGAGAGAGGGAAGACUUUAAGAAUUUUUAACGGGGAAUUUUUCACUUCUGUAAGGAAAAUAUUCAGCUUAUGUUUACAAGAAAAUACUGGCCAUCCAGACACAUCUUCACUGUCAAAAAUGGAGCUAUUACAGACGUGGGAAAAGGUUCCCCCAUCCAAAGCCGAGACUGCCGAAGGCUGCCCGCUCUGAGAGUCAUGGUAGAGAUACUGGAAGAUGACCACAGUCUACCAUCUUCUUAAGGAGUGGUUCUAUUUAUUACAGUAUUUGAAAUGUGAGAUCCUGAGAUAAUGGCUCAGGGAUUGCUCAAGGGCAAGGGAUGCAUCGUCUCUGAGAAGACCACUUAUCUCCCCUCUUUCUGCAUCCUCCCUGGUAAGACAACAUCUUCUGGAAGGGGGCUUUUGUGCGCAUUGCCAAAAUUCAAUUUGUGAAUUGGUUCUUCUGAAGCGAAGAUGUUGAAUGAUGUAACCCAAAUUGCCAGUCAGCUGGGUAAAGCCUGUCAGUAUUCUGGAGCCUGGAAUGGAAUAAAGUUCAUGUACCUGCAUUCCUUCUGGUUGUAGCUCACUUAAGCAUUUGAAAUAUCCACUGAGUGAAUACUCUGGGGUUUAGAGGUCAGCAGUGCUAAAACAUAAGUGUCCAGAGACUUGAUUUGCAGAGCAAGGUCUUUGACUAGAGGAAGUGAGAUACAAACCAGCACUUUUUCCUGGGGCUCGAAAGAGAGAAGAUAACUCAAGAGCUUGAACAAUCUGCCCUCUGUUACAAUACGCACCCUGUUUUAACUAGUUCAGUGGCCAGGUCACAGCAGCACGCUCUAGCAAGUGAGCUCCCAAGCACUGAACAUCUACAAUUUACAGCAGCACAGUUGAGGUCUUCAGCUGCUGCAUUGUGCACCUCACAGCAGCAACAAUGAUACUGUUAUAACACAGAAAUCAUCAGUGGGAGGAAACUAAUCUUGAACAGGCUAAUAGCCACAGUUAAGUCUUUCGGAGAGUUUUUAGCAUUCUGAGCCUCAGCAUAAGGAAAAGGUGCUUCUUCAGCUUAAUGCUUUAUAUGUAAACAAAUGCUGACUUAGUAGUAGUGUGUGGACGUGUCCACUGAACAUACAGGUUUGACCUGGAUGGUGCAUUCCCCCAGAAGUUUCCUUGGAUAGCACACCCGUGAGGGCAUGGCCAUGUUGCUGCCCGUCCAAGCAGAGUGAAAAACAAUGGAGCUUGACCAGCAACACAGAGUUAGUUGUUGGCCCCUGUAAGCUCCCUCCCCACUCUGUGAAUUAGUUUUGGACUCACAAGAGGUUUGAUAAGUGACUCAGAAGUGGCAUAUCUCUUCCUGCAAACCUUGCCAGGCUUUUAUCCUUACCCUGUAACUGCUAGAGCUACCCCAAGUGCUGACACCCUCUUCCUUGAAAUGGUUAAAAUCUAACUGUACUCAGGAGAGCAGAGGGUGGUUCAAAACAUAAAUAAAGAU